rnacentral:rRNA from 1 species
GUAAUUGCUCCAGAAAUGGCUGCGCAACCCGCAAGGGAGGCAGGUCCCUAAGGAGUGAUUCGGUAACUGGGGUG